UACCUACUAAUACAUUUAUAAACUAUUUUAGUACACCAACAUGAACGGCUCAUUCUAUUAAGAAUUUACAAAUAUGAAUUCCCUCCAACAACAAAUAUUAUGUGCGAUAAUAAUUCACUCCUAUACAGUGAUUUAGCAAGUAAAUAAUAAUAAUAGGUCAUUUUGGAUUACUUUACAAAGAAUAAUGUUUAAAUGAAAGUUGUCGAAAUAUGUUACUAAUACUUUUUAUUCUGACAUCAAGGUAUGAUACAUGUUUUGUUAAAGAUGCCAUAAUGAUUCCCCCAAAAAGUGAACUGUAUACACAAUAUUUUAACAUCAUUUGACCAAAUAAUUAAAGUUGAUUAUUAUCAAAAAUUUCCAAAGAAAUGUCUUCAAAACUUACAUGUCGCACUAUGUAUCAUUCAUGUCAUUGAUGAGAGAGUAGAUGAGUGACUCUGAGACUGAGACUGCCUCAAAAGAGACUACCCGGAUGUACAAUGAUCACCUAGAAUUAUCUCAUGUGCCUUUAUGAAGACGGUCCCGCCGGUACCUGCGGAAGUCACAGAAUACCCGGCAGCACGGUCAGCUGUUGUUCCGCGGAGGAGGUCUGCAUGGAAGAGGACCAAACGGUUCGUUUGGAGUUCGUUAGUGAACGUGGCACGCAGAGUUUGCUUCUGUCAAACCUUCGUAGACAUAGAGUAAUGUUCACCAAGUUUUCGACCUCUACCCUACCUAGCCUGGGUUUCUAAUAACGGAUGGGAAAGCGUCCGCAAAACCCGACUUCUCGGUCGAGGGCAGCAGUCAAGGCGAAGCGAUGUGGGAUCGAGGUAUAAGGUACGUGAAAGUGCACUUUUGGGGUGAUCGGCGGUAAGUCACCAACACACGUUCUCCGACCACCGGCGGCAGGGCCAAGGGAUCGCGGACAUCCGGAGAUCCUCUGGAGGCGUGGCGGGCCCCGGCUGCUUCGGUCCGAGAGCGACGACGACACUGGCUAGCUGUACCGGAGGUACCAUUGGCGGUAUGAUUGGCGCAGCGUUGCACUGCGAAGACGACUCGUGAAUUUAACGACGGAAGUCGUAGAGCACACGUAAUUAUUAUUAUUAUAUACGGUGGCUAGGGACCAUAUUAUAAUAAUAAUAUUAUAGUCUUCGUCGCUCGCUCCGAGGAGCUUUGGUCACCAUCUUCGCACAGUUGCUUCUGCAGCACAAUAUCUAUAGCGCACGUCAUCAAUCGUCGCCAACCGUCAUCGUUGCUCUCGCAGCCGUCGUGGUCGGGUUCCGCCCGCUUCUGUGGUCGUCUUCGAGUCCUCGAGGAAACGCGCUCGCGACUCUUGUCCUCCCGCAGAACCGGCCGCAAGAACGAUGUAGAGGUGACAAUCUGCACCACCCACUCUACCAUCACGUACCCCCCACCACGCAUCGUCUUGACUGAUGUCUUUUUUUUUACAAUUUUAAUUCAUUAUAAUUUAUUCUGCCACAUUGUGCACCUUUUUUUUUGUUAUAUUAUUAAUAUAAUUGCGAGCGAUUUUCCUAUAUUUCUUUGUAUUACUUAUUAAUUAUUUUUCGGC